rnacentral:rRNA from 1 species
AACGAACGCUGGCGGCAUGCCUAACACAUGCAAGUCGAACGAGACCUUCGGGUCUAGUGGCGCACGGGUGCGUAACGCGUGGGAACCUCCCUUUAGGUUCGGAAUAACUCAGAGAAAUUUGAGCUAAUACCGGAUGAUGUCUUCGGACCAAAGAUUUAUCGCCUUUAGAUGGGCCCGCGUUGGAUUAGCUAGUUGGUGGGGUAAAGGCCUACCAAGGCGACGAUCCAUAGCUGGUCUGAGAGGAUGAUCAGCCACACUGGGACUGAGACACGGCCCAGACUCCUACGGGAGGCAGCAGUGGGGAAUAUUGGACAAUGGGCGAAAGCCUGAUCCAGCAAUGCCGCGUGAGUGAUGAAGGCCUUAGGGUUGUAAAGCUCUUUUACCCGAGAUGAUAAUGACAGUAUCGGGAGAAUAAGCUCCGGCUAACUCCGUG